GGUCAGUGAUGAGCUGUAAAAGGUCUGAUUCCUUCUUCUUCUCUGGUGGCCUUUGGCUCCCAGCAGCUGCUACUUCAUCUUGCUCUAGUGGUGCAUUGUGGUCCGGCAGCUGCUGACAUCACAGGAAGUGACAUCACAGCGAGCUGGUGCUUAGUGACGCAGCCUCUGUGUGAUGCACGUCCCACACAGCCAAUCAGCAUGGAGCGUAGGCCGAUGAGGAGAAGGAGGGGCUGAUCACUAGUUUUCAAUCUGAGACC
ensembl:scaRNA small Cajal body-specific RNA 6